rnacentral:rRNA from 1 species
GACGAACGCUGGCGGCGUGCUUAACACAUGCAAGUCGAACGGAAAGGCCCUGCUUUUGUGGGGUGCUCGAGUGGCGAACGGGUGAGUAACACGUGAGUAACCUGCCCUUGACUUUGGGAUAACUUCAGGAAACUAGGGCUAAUACCGGAUAGGAGCUCCUGCUGCAUGGUGGGGGUUGGAGAGUUUCGGCGGUUGGGGAUGGACUCGCGGCUUAUCAGCUUGUUGGUGGGGUAGUGGCUUACCAAGGCUUUGACGGGUAGCCGGCCUGAGAGGGUGACCGGCCACAUUGGGACUGAGAUACGGCCCAGACUCCUACGGGAGGCAGCAGUGGGGAAUAUUGCACAAUGGGCGGAAGCCUGAUGCAGCAACGCCGCGUGCGGGAUGACGGCCUUCGGGUUGUAAACCGCUUUCGCCUGUGACGAAGCGUGAGUGACGGUAAUGGGUAAAGAAGCACCGGCUAACUACGUG